GCUCCCAUAGCUCAGUCGGUAGAGCGCUUCCAUGGUAAGGAAGAGGUCACCAGUUCGAGUCUGGUUGGGAGCU
rnacentral:tRNA from 2 species